ACAUUUUGUUGUUACCGUCGUCUCCUUUCCACUAUACCAAUACAUACUCGACAUUCAAAAUCGCCAAAAAGAAAAGAAAACUUCGAUUUGGGAGAGGGAAAUCGAGCUUGAAGAUAUACAAGUAGAUUUUGUUUGUUAUAAUGGAAGAGGAAGGAAAGCAGCAGAGGAAGGAGGGAACAACAAUGGAGGCUGGUCUUUUAGAUAGCAUAAUAAGUCGUUUGUUAGAAUUGAGGCAAACAAGGUUAGCCAAACAACCGCAGGUUCAGCUUAGCGAGAAUGAGAUCCGUCAACUCUGUGCUGUUGCCAAAGAAAUCUUUCUUCAACAACCCAAUCUUCUCGAGCUGGAAGCCCCCAUUAAGAUCUGUGGUGACAUUCAUGGGCAAUAUUCAGAUCUUUUGAGACUUUUUGAAUAUGGAGGUUUUCCUCCUAGUGCCAAUUAUUUAUUCUUAGGUGAUUAUGUGGACCGUGGGAAGCAGAGUUUGGAAACAAUAUGCCUUUUGCUUGCCUACAAAAUCAAGUAUCCUGAGAACUUCUUCCUUUUAAGAGGAAACCAUGAGUCUGCUUCGAUUAAUCGAAUUUAUGGAUUCUAUGAUGAAUGUAAACGACGGUUCAAUGUGAAACUUUGGAAGACAUUUACAGAUUGUUUUAACUGUCUUCCUGUUGCUGCUCUUAUAGAUGACAAAAUAUUGUGCAUGCACGGUGGGCUUUCCCCUGAAUUAACAAAUUUGGAUCAAAUUAGGAACUUGCCUCGUCCAACUGAUGUUCCAGAUUCUGGCUUGCUUUGCGAUUUACUUUGGUCUGAUCCUGACAGGGAUAUCAAAGGCUGGGGACUGAAUGACCGGGGGGUCUCAUAUACAUUUGGCCCUGAUAAGGUUGCAGAAUUCUUAAUGAGGAAUGAUAUGGACCUUGUUUGUCGUGCCCAUCAGGUCGUUGAGGAUGGAUAUGAAUUCUUUGCAGAGAGGCGGCUUGUAACAAUAUUUUCAGCUCCCAACUAUUGCGGUGAAUUUGAUAAUGCCGGUGCAAUGAUGAGUGUUGAUGAAACCCUAAUGUGCUCUUUCCAAAUACUCAAGCCUGCAGACAAAAGGUUCAGGUUCAUGUGAAAUGAUUGCUCUUUGCUGUCCUAUAACCACUUACAAUUUCUAUGCAAGUUUUAUGCUAUGAGUUCUCUUUUUUGUAUUGGUUGUUCCUUUAAUGGUAAAUUAUUUUUGUUAUCAAACAAAAUUCCAUUCUUUAGUUAUUUCUGAAAGACAAGAGCUUUCUAGGGAAGGGUGUGGGAAAAAAGACAACCUCAUAGGUGAUUAUUUAAUUUGUAAUAUUUGAGGAAUCAAUAUCAUUUGCUAAUCGUAUUGCUGCAGUAAAUACAAGUAAUAGAGCAUGCUUCUAUAAAUUGGACACGAUAUAAUUGUAAACAGAGUUGUAAUCUUCUAAUUAAACUGAUUUGGCUAGAUCUUCUGCACGCCAAAUACAUCUAAAGUUAGUCAUUGCUCUCUAUGAAUUUGAUUUUUUUGUUGCAAUAAUUUUUUUUCUCUCACCAUCAUGAUCAUGAUAUAAAUUGUUGCUUAGCUACAUAAUUAGAUUAGGUAAAAUAUCUAAUACACACCAACUAUGAGAAGCCCAUAUAUUGAUUCAGCGAUGCAGAGGAAACUUUCAUAUAAAAUGUAGUGUGCUUAAAUGAAAAAUAGAAUAAAAAAUAAAAGAAAGUAAGGGAAUGAGGACUGGUCUAGCAAUUCAAUGUAGGGUCUACUUUCAUUAUCAAUAAUACCAUGUUGAUUUAUUCUUUAAUAAAUGAAAGGAUAAGGAGUGCAGCCCCCAUUUAUUUUAUGUUGAAGCUCUGCCAAUGCUUGCCGUGUAAUGGCAUAAAUGAUUCACAUUUUAGCCAUAUAAUAGGAUUCAGAAUUGUAUUAUAUCUUGUGGGUGUUUGUGACUAGUAUGUUUGUUGUUGAUGGUGCUUUUUGAGUGGCAGUUUAUCUUUCUGUUGCUAUUUUCUUUGCUUGAAGGCUAAGAAUAAGCUUCACUUUUUAAUGGGUAGAAAUUUCAAGAGCAAAGCUGUUAGGGAAAAUGAAGUUACUUCUGAAUUUUGUUUAGAUCUUUUUUGGGUUUCUGAUUUUAUCAAUCGGUUAAUUUUCAGUUUCAUGAAAGACAUUAUAUUUCAUAUAAAGGCAUACAUUGAAGAGCAAUUCUUUGAAACUGUAGACUUUUAUGUCUAAUCCCAUUUCAAUGUAUGAGCCAACUAAACUGUUCCAUGGAGAGGUGUUGUUGUUCCUUUCUGAACUAUGCUUUUUUUAUUUUUUAUUAUUAUUUUGUGCUUCCUAGCUUUACUUUACAUCAGCAUACAACUGGUCACCAAUCACUGAGUGUCAUUUUUCAGGAAAGAAAAUCUGUUUUUUUUUUUAUUUCUCUUUAUGAUGGACAACAAGAGUUUAUUUUUAAAAAAUAGCAGUGUUGCUGAUUAACAAACAAAAGCUUGUCCCUCAAGUAUCACCACUGCUACCACUGGCAAAAGCUAUAUUAGUUUCAUGUUUAAAUCUGCCAGCAACUCCUUCAAUAUCCAAACUGUCAACAAGCUGUGACCUCAUAUCUUAUGAUAACCUACACUACCAAAAACAUCGAUGCAUUGCCUUAUAACAGUUUUCACCACCAUUGAGAAGCAAAUGAGUCUUUAUUCGAUGUUAUUGUCCAAUUUACUAUAGGUCCUUACUCUCUCAACAUUUUCUCAAUGCAGCUCCUUUACUCCUCUUCUAUUUAGCUGGUCCCUCUACUCUAGAAAAUUUCUUACUGUUGUCCCUCUAUAAAACUUCCUUCCGAUUUACCUCUAAUUCUUGACAACAAGUCAGAAAAAGUGGACACGUGUAUAUAAUUAAUGGUAAAUUGGAUGGGACUGCAUUAAGAAAUUUUCUAGAGGAGAGGGGCUAACUACAUAAAAAAGAGUAGAAAGGCCACAGUAAGAAAAUGCAAAUUAUAGGGACCAAAUAUAUGAUUAAUCCAUUUACCAUAUUCAGUGAUACCCAGCACUAUAAAUAACAUGACUUUACCUUUCUGCCAUCAUCACUUUUUUACCACUGCUGCUAUUAUUUUUUGUCUACUUCAUCAUCAUUACCACCUCCAUUAUCCUCUGAACUCCUAGUGUGCAUUUCAUUCCUUGGAGCCAAUUCUGAAAGAUCAAACAUCAUUAUCAAUCUGCCAUGCUACCAUAAAUACAGCUGAAAGCAACAUCUCCACUUUGCACUUGCCUUCAUCAAACAUAUCCAUAACCACCUUGUCCUUCACCACCAGCAGUUCCCUGCUAUUGUGCCCCAUUGCCUCCUUUAUAAUGCUUAUUGGAUGUGGAACCACCUUUCUUUUUCAUGCUUUCUGGUGUACCACUCAUGCUUUUAUCACAUAGUGGUCCCCUGAAAGUACUUUUUAUUUUUUAUUUUUAUACGUAGGCUGAAUUUUAAACAAAACGGUUUUGCUGCCUCCAGUAAAUAUGCAUAGUAAUAACCGACAUGUUUAGAUUGUGAGAAAUUGAAAUAUACACAAGUUUUUUAGUUGUUGUACAACUAUGCAUUAGUUUAGAUGUUGACUCUUCCAUUAGUUUUUAUUGAUCAUUUAAAGUUUGUUUCUUCUAUAUGACAGUUCAAAUUCUUCUCCUUCAUUGUUCUUAUAUUCCUCCUGUAAUUGACAGGUUUUGAACUUAUUUUCAAGUAUGUUACAGGGAGAAUCAUUUGGGUAUGAAAAUGUUGCCAUCAAAGCUGCUUCAACUUUGAGCUGCAGCCACCAUGCUGUUACAAUGUUUCUCGUGUUGAGGGUACGGGGUUAUUUAUUGAAAAUGCUCUGUUUGCAGGAGCUUUCCAAAUUCCAAAAUUUGGAGCUGACUGUUUUUUUAUAGCAAUGUCAUAGGCCAGUUUUUCCUUUUCGAGUUCUAGCGCAAAUUAUGAUGCCCGUGUAUAUACAUUUUAUCUAUAAAUGACUGCACUGAUACAGCAGUGCACGAUUGCCUGCCUUUUACUAAGAAUUUUUUUGAUGGUAAGUUCCCAAAUGACUCUCGCAAGCUAGUGCACUAGGGUUCUGGCCUCUGAUUUUCUCGGGCUUUUUUGGGGCCCAAGCAUCAGAUGAAGUUUGUGAAUUGACUGAGCUGCCAGCAUCAGUUUGUUGGAAUGUUCGAAGGAAGCCUGAACGGAUAAACUAAGUGUUGGCAAGCAAGUUCAUUCUUGUUUUACUAUUUGUCUCGCUUUGAGCUUGGUGCCGCCAAGAAUCAUUCUAAAUUCCAUCGUAAAGAGUACUGAAACUUUUUUCUUUUUAACACAACUUGACGGUCACAGAACAUGUGAAGAAUAAAGUGUAGCUCGCUCGUCUUGUUAUGCUUGCAAGGAUUGUUUAUUUAUUCAACUUUAUACGAGUUUGGUUUGCUA